GCCUCACGGCAUCUCACCUUCCACUGGACACAGGGACGCUAUUUGCUUUAGCUUUUAGUUUUGUCAUCAUCACAAUUUUAUCUGACAGGAAAAAAAAAAAAAAAAACACUUUUACUAUUUGAUAACGAAUAACAACUCUAAAGGCUGCUACACCAGACGCAAUGCGACAAGCGAGAAUGAGCAGUGAUACGACAAAAUGAAUAGAACCUAUACUUUUGAUAAGUAUCGUUCACACCACGAACGACAUGACAGGUGACAUGGGGGCGACACCAGAGCAACACUGGCGUGACAAGAAAUAAAUAGGAUUGAAUCCUGUUUUUUGCGGUUUCUUCGCGUGACAAUUGAGCAAUGAGAACAGCUUCAAUGCAUGGUGUCCACCAGGGGGAAGCAGUGUCCAAAAUGACGGAGGAAACAAUAAUAUUAGUCGUUGAAAAAUACCCAGGGCUUUAUGACAAAGAUCAUCACAACUAUAAAGAUACAGAUGAGAUAAUAUAUGGGAGUCCAUUUCGAAGGAACUGGAAGCCUGAGCUGAAACAUGGAGAGGAAUGAAGAUCACGACAAAAAAGUUCCGGGAUUAGAUUGGACAUACCCCUAGAAAACUCCAAACUUGUGUCAUGAGACACUCAUUGAAAUGGAACUCCCAAGGAAAAAGAAGACCAGGAAAACCAAAAAACUGUUGCUGCGGAAUUGUGAAUUCUGAAGUAAAACGAGAGGGAUCAGGUUGAAGUGGCUGCCCAGAACAAUGGAAAAACCUGAACUCCACAAUGAGUAAUACGUUUAAACAAUGAUUUAAUGAUGGAUAAGAUAUAAGAGACCAAUCCAUGGUUAUCCCGGGAAAUACUAAAAUAAAAUGUAAUUUUUUCUUUCUUUCUCUCUCUCUCUCUCUCUCUCUCUCUCUCUCUCUCUCUCUCUCUCUCUCUCUCUCUCUCUCUCUCUUCACCCCACAAGGUAUUGGUGGACAAAAUUAACCCCUUGUCCCACUAAAACAGUUUAGAAUAAAGAUUUUUCUCUGUCAAAAAAAAACUUUUUGUUUCUCAUAAACUAUUUCUAAUGAGCUCUGGAUACAUUUUAUUGAAGGUUUUUUUUUACCUACAGAGUCUUUGACUGUCUCUUCACAUGGGUAACUGACACUCUUACUUUCCCCAAAACUCACCUGAAAAUAAUAUUGAAAAUAUUGAAAAACAUUUCUUGUCAAAAUGUUUGUCAUUUCAUUUAUUAUGUUUCUUUUAGUAUUUCUAUGGGUUUAAUAGGUAUGGAUGAUAUUAGAAAAAACCUAGAUAAUACUGCCCCUUGAAUUUAAACCUGCUGGAAAAACAUCUGUUUCAAUGCAUUGGUUUAUGGCACCAAUGGGGACAUUGAAUGUAAAAAAAUAAGAAAAAUGUAUAUUGUUUUCUUUAGAAAAAAAACACAAAACUAUGUCCUGUAAAUUUAAAUUUGCAAAAGUAUUACAUUAUAACUGUCAUUGCCAUUGUUAGAAUAAAAUCUCAGAAAAAAGCUUAGAAAACUU